UCCUAUUAAUAUAAAAUUUACAAUUAUACUAUUUUAAUUAAUCAAAAAAAAAAAAAAAAAAAAAAGAUCAGUGAGAAGAAGAAGUUGGUUUGGCUACUCUAUAUAUAGAAGUGUUAUGGUGUUCCCAUUUUAUGCUCAUCAUACACACACAGCUUUAGUUUUAGAAUUGAAUUUUAAUUAUUAUUCGAAUAUUAUAAGAAUGAUGAUGAUGAACAAAUCCUUGGUUCCAACGCUGCUAGUGCUGCUGCUCAUCUUCUCUGCUUCAGAAGAGAUGAUGGGGGGUGGUGCUGAGGCUCGAAUGUGCCAAUCUCAGAGCCACCACUUCCACGGACCAUGUGUACGUGACCACAACUGCGCUCUUGUCUGUCGCACCGAAGGCUUCUCAGGCGGUGAAUGUAUUGGUUUCCGCCGCCGCUGCUUCUGCACUCACCGUUGCUAGCUACCUACCUAAUUUCUUUUUAAUUCGCUAUAUGCUAUGCUUUUUUUUUUUUUUGUUUUUUUUUGUUUAUCAUCUCCUUCCUCUGAUCCUCUUCCUAUCACUACUAUAUCAUCACCUUUAAUUUACCUUUCCAUUUCAUGAAUAAACAUAACUACUUCUUUAUUGAAA